rnacentral:tRNA from 1 species
GCUUUAGUUCAGUUGGUAGAACACUUGCCUAGCAUGCAGGAAGCCCUGAGUUCAAUCCCUAGAAUAGCA